AACGAACGCUGGCGGCAGGCCUAACACAUGCAAGUCGAACGCUGUAGCAAUACAGAGUGGCAGACGGGUGAGUAACGCGUGGGAACGUGCCCUUUGGUUCGGAAUAACCCAGGGAAACUUGGGCUAAUACCGGAUACGUCCGUAAGGAGAAAGAUUUAUCGCCAAAGGAUCGGCCCGCGUCGGAUUAGCUAGUUGGUGAGGUAAAGGCUCACCAAGGCGACGAUCCGUAGCUGGUCUGAGAGGAUGACCAGCCAC
rnacentral:rRNA from 1 species